GGGGGUAUAGCUCAGGGGUAGAGCGCUCCCUUCGCAUGGGAGAAGUCUGGGGUUCGAUUCCCCAUACCUCCA
rnacentral:tRNA from 1 species